rnacentral:misc_RNA from 1 species
UCCGGCGCCAGCCCGCACUGGCGGAUCGCGAUCUCGUAAAUCUCCCGCUCAGGUUUGGAUGCCCGGACCUGGUAGGAAUAGACUCCGUCAGUGAACCGCUGGAACACAGGGUACCGCGCGAAGAUAAAAUCCACGUGGAUGUCGCUCGUAUUCGACAAGAGGUACAGCGGAUAGUGGCCAUGCAGCUUUUCCACCAGAUCGAUCAUCGGAUCGUUCUCCGUAAAGAUGUCCUCCCAGGCUGAAACGAAGUCGGCGUCUG